GUGGGGAAUCUUGCACAAUGGGCGAAAGCCUGAUGCAGCCAUGCCGCGUGAAUGAUGAAGGCCUUAGGGUUGUAAAAUUCUUUCGUCAGGGAUGAUAAUGACCGUACCUGAAGAAGAAGCCCCGGCUAACUUCGUGCCAGCAGCCGCGGUAAUACGAAGGGGGCUAGCGUUGUUCGGAAUUACUGGGCGUAAAGCGCACGUAGGCGGACUUUUAAGUCAGGUGUGAAAUCCCGGGGCUCAACCUCGGAACUGCAUUUGAAACUGGAAGUCUUGAGAUCAGGAGAGGUUAGCGGAAUACCGAGUGUAGAGGUGAAAUUCGUAGAUAUUCGGUGGAACACCAGUGGCGAAGGCGGCUAACUGGACUGAUACUGACGCUGAGGUGCGAAAGUGUGGGGAGCAAACAGGAUUAGAAACCCCGGUAGUCC
rnacentral:rRNA from 1 species